rnacentral:rRNA from 1 species
UACGGGGGGGGCUAGCGUUAUUCGGGAUCAUUGGGCGUAAAGGGCGCGUAGGCGGCGCGGUAAGUCAAAGGUGAAAUCCCUCGGCUCAACUGAGGAACUGCCUUUGAAACUGCCGUGCUUGAGUCCGGGAGGGGGUAGCGGAAUUCCCAGUGUAGCGGUGAAAUGCGUAGAUAUUGGGAGGAACACCAGUGGCGAAGGCGGCUACCUGGACCGGUACUGACGCUGAUGCGCGAAAGCGUGGGGAGCAAACAGG